GUCGAUAGUUUUUGGAACACUAUCCCUAAUUAUCUUUUUCAGAAAAUAGGUGGCCUUAAUUUUCUCUUUCUAAUAGGAAAACUACCAAUCAAACUUGAAAACUUUCAUCAUCAAGUUUUAUUGUGCUGGCAGCUUCUCUACAAACACAAUUACUCUCCUCACCACUGUAUCUUAUGGAACAACUCUUAUAUUACACACAGAAAUAAGACUUUGUACUUGAACAAUUGGUUUAUGAACAAUGUAAACACUGUAAAGCAACUCUUGAAUGAUAAUGGUGAGUUUUAUAACUAUGAGGCAUUCGUAGACACUUAUCAUUUGGAGGUUUCCAGGCAAGAGUUUCAUACUGUGAUUACAAAAUAAAAAUCCUUGCUUGUAACAUUCAGAGUAUCACGCUCUCUGUUUUGGAGAGCCCUAUUUCCAUAAAUGGCAUGGAUUUGUUAAAUAAAAACUGCUCAAAUAAUUUUAUUAGAAGUGGUCUAGAGCAUAUCACAGCUCCAGCUUGUAAGUAUCGAUCAGUAUGUCUGAAUAGAAAACAGUGGAACACAAUCUUUUUAAUGCCUCACAGAUAUAUACUCACAAAUACAAUAAAAGAGUUUCUUUAUAAGAUUACCCACAGAUACUAUCCUGUUAAAGCAAAUGUAUGUCGUUUUAUGUCAAACAUAAGUAACCGGUGCACUUUUUGUAAUUGUGAAGGAGAAACUGUUGAGUAUAUAUUUGUUGACUGUUUUCACACCACUUCCUUUUGGUUCCAUUUAGAAAGAUAUCUCGCAAGAAUAUUUAAAAAAGAAACUAUGCUCAAGAGAACAGGUAUUUUAUUUUACUAUAACAACCCUAAUUUCUCUGGUGAUGAAAUAUAUAUCAUUAACCUGAUUUGUAUACUAGCAAAAUUUUUUAUGCAUAAAAUGAUUUGGAUUACGAAAUGACCCUCCUUUUAUGUAUUUGAAACUACAGAUUUCCAAAGUUACUUAAAUACUAUUGCAAAAUUAAAACAAAUGAAUAAAAAAUCUACAAAAACAUUAAGAAUGUUAGAUAAAUACAACUUUAUUACCCCUUCUUGACAGACUCUAUAUUUUUAUUUAUUUUUUCUUGUUAUGUGUUUCAUUAUGACUGUACGAUUAUUGCAAUUGCAAUGCAUGUGUCUUAAGUUUACAUUUGUAUGUUGUUUCUGCUUAAAAGAAAAUAAAGGAUGUUAAUUCUUUAAAAAAAAAGAGUCACCUCUAAGACCUCUAUUUAAUAAUAAAUGUAUAUGUUUAUGACUUUUAGACGUGCGUCUUCCCGUUAUGUAACCAUAUAUCUUAGGUUUAAACGUUUCCUACCAAAAAGUCACCACAUAUGUUUUCUCAACCCUAACCUGUCAACCAAACCAGCAUUCAGUAAAAAACUACAACGGCAUGCGGAAAUGUCCAGAAGUUGCAAUACACAGUGCUGUGCGCCGCCAUAUUGUUUUGUAGUUCCAAUGUGUUUUCUCUAUUAUGUGAAGUUAACACAAGAAUAUUCUAGAAUUUAUGUUAGGUAUGGAGGAUGGAGAACACACCCACUCAGUCAAAUGUUAGGUUUCCUAACGGUAAAAGGGCAAAAUCAUGUUUUCUUCAGGAUUUAUCACUUAUCAGUGGUGCCCUCGAUUGACAUUUUUUCAGGUUAUAGUAGUACAGGGGCCUAUUUCACGAAGCAGGUUUUACAAACUCUGAGUUUCUUCCUCAACUCUGAGUUGAUCUACUCUGAGAUAGAAAACUCUGAGUUUUCGGUUUCACAACGGCUGAUAUGAGUUGGGUUAAUUAACUUGGAGUAGUUUGACCCGGAGUUAUGCGCGUGCACCGCAAGUCUGAAAAGACAGCAUCAAUGGAACCCCGAUUCGACGAGUCACCAUGGAAACGGGGAAGCGAAAGGCUGCGUUUUUGAACUGGAAGUUUUUAACGCGCUCAUAUGGCGAGUUUGAACACGUUUUUAGAAAGAAGUGCAACACCGCUGCAGCUGCAAAAGAGAGAGAGACGGCGUGGAGAACAGCCCGGAUCAAUGCGAUGAAGAGGAUGAAACUGUGUCUGCUGCCUUUACAGAGGGGGAUCCAGAAAGGCAUACAGAGCUAUGUUACUGAUAGUUCUCUUCUCAUUCACAUUUUGGGUGGAAUAUAGAGUGUGACAUUUAGCCUACACUGAAGUAUUGCACAUUCUCAUCCUUUUUAACAGAGCAUGGCUGGACAGCAGCAGGAUGGUUCCUCAGCUUCCACUGCACAGACUGACACAGUGAGAUGGAUGUUCAGGAAACACCAGAGCUUCAUUCUGUGGAAUUCAUGUGCAACUGUAGAAUUGAAUGUCCUCUAUGUAUUCCCAGUUAUCAGUAAAACAGAUUUACAAACUGCAUUUGCUGAGAAAAAUCCAAAAAACAGAUUAGGAGGGCAGAUCUGGAAAUUGAAAUACUGGAGCACAAGUUAGAGGUGGUGAUGGUCACAGGUGAAUUAUGUUAACUACUGGAACAUGAACUGAACUAUCUUUUAUUUGUAGGAAAUAAAGAAGAGCAAAUGAAA